CAGAUGAAUGCACAACCCCAAGACUGUGAGAGGAAAUUUAGUCAACAUUGAAUGUCAUCUUCAUUUUCCUUUAUUCGGUCUUCGUUUGAACAGCUGCCCAAUUAGCCACAUCUCCCUGCGCAGAAAGAUUUCUGUAAAGAAGCUAAGUAGCGCGUCUCUCCUGUUCCGGAUGGAAGUUUUGCUGCACCAACUAUUGAUGCUGCUACCCAAGUGAAAUUCCUCUUUCUCCAUUUUAUAACUUCUCCUUAACAUAUGUAAAUCACACUAA